rnacentral:tRNA from 1 species
GCCCAGAUGGCGGAAUAGGUAGACGCAAAGGACUUAAAAUCCUUCGGUAGCUAAUACCGUGCCGGUUCAAGUCCGGCUCCGGGCACCA